rnacentral:rRNA from 1 species
GAGCGAACAGACGAGGAGCUUGCUCCUCUGACGUUAGCGGCGGACGGGUGAGUAACACGUGGAUAACCUACCUAUAAGACUGGGAUAACUUCGGGAAACCGGAGCUAAUACCGGAUAAUAUAUUGAACCGCAUGGUUCAAUAGUGAAAGACGGUUUUGCUGUCACUUAUAGAUGGAUCCGCGCCGCAUUAGCUAGUUGGUAAGGUAACGGCUUACCAAGGCAACGAUGCGUAGCCGACCUGAGAGGGUGAUCGGCCACACUGGAACUGAGACACGGUCCAGACUCCUACGGGAGGCAGCAGUAGGGAAUCUUCCGCAAUGGGCGAAAGCCUGACGGAGCAACGCCGCGUGAGUGAUGAAGGUCUUCGGAUCGUAAAACUCUGUUAUUAGGGAAGAACAAAUGUGUAAGUAACUAUGCACGUCUUGACGGUACCUAAUCAGAAAGCCACGGCUAACUACGUGCCAGCAGCCGCGGUAAUACGUAGGUGGCAAGCGUUAUCCGGAAUUAUUGGGCGUAAAGCGCGCGUAGGCGGUUUUUUAAGUCUGAUGUGAAAGCCCACGGCUCAACCGUGGAGGGUCAUUGGAAACUGGAAAACUUGAGUGCAGAAGAGGAAAGUGGAAUUCCAUGUGUAGCGGUGAAAUGCGCAGAGAUAUGGAGGAACACCAGUGGCGAAGGCGACUUUCUGGUCUGUAACUGACGCUGAUGUGCGAAAGCGUGGGGAUCAAACAGGAUUAGAUACCCUGGUAGUCCACGCCGUAAACGAUGAGUGCUAAGUGUUAGGGGGUUUCCGCCCCUUAGUGCUGCAGCUAACGCAUUAAGCACUCCGCCUGGGGAGUACGACCGCAAGGUUGAAACUCAAAGGAAUUGACGGGGACCCGCACAAGCGGUGGAGCAUGUGGGUUAAUUCGAAGCAACGCGAAGAACCUUACCAAUCUUGACAUCCUCUGACCCUC